CUGGCCACCCGACAGGCCGUUGCCGAGGCGCGGAUGGAGGACUGCGGGCCGCGUCACUGACGCGGAUGGAUGGACUGGUCGGUCACAGGAAGAGACGGUCGGGCGGCCGGGGGACCAGUAAAGGAGGCUGAGCUUCUCCCAGCAACUCUAUGGAUCUGAACUCCUGGGAUUCUGUUCCUUCCCUGAGCACCUCCUCCAGGAAGACUUCUUCACUGGACCCUACGCAAGGCGGAGCCUCCGUCCUUCACAGGGGCACUUGGUUUUACAGAGACGGGGACAGGAUUCUGGGGAAGUUCCUGUAUAUGAAUUUCUUUAUGUAUACCACAUUUGACUUUGGCUUACGUUGUACAAUUGGAAGUCCCUGAGAUGCAAUCAGAUUAUUUAAGAGUGUAAGCAAACCUUUCCAAUGUGAAAGUGAAAAGGAUUUCUUUAAAAAAUAGAGUCAUCACUCUUAAACAAGUCACAACACGGCUUGGUAGCUGCCCUCGCUCCUCAGUCUAACAGCUUGGAGACCUGUUUGAGGGAAACCAGUUUGAGAAAUCCCUGUCGUCCUCAUUCACUGUUCUUGCCCUGUCCCUGUGGGAACAUGCCUGUGGCCCCUCAGAAACAUGAUCAGCUCUGGCUCCUGAGGGAACACACCUCUUUCUGAGAAAGAGGUAGUGGCUACCUAGUUCUAAGCAAAGUUUUAAAUGAGAAAAGGAACCACACUUAUUCAAAUGUCCUGGUAAUAGAGGGAAGAGGGUCACAUUUACUCACCCACAACCCAGAACUUAUAGAAUUCUGCGAAAUGAAUGUAUAUUGAGUCAGUCCCCUGAUUCAUACAUUCAGGAAGAAUAAAUUUCAAUGAUGUGAGACAACUGCA